UACGUAGGGUGCGAGCGUUAAUCGGAAUUACUGGGCGUAAAGCGUGCGUAGGUGGUUCGUUGUGUCUGUGGUGAAAGCCCCGGGCUUAACCUGGGAAUGGCCAUGGAAACUGGCGAGCUGGAGUCUGGCAGAGGGGGGUGGAAUUCCGCGUGUAGCAGUGAAAUGCGUAGAGAUGCGGAGGAACACCGAUGGCGAAAGCAGCCCCCUGGGCUAAGACUGACGCUGAGGCACGAAAGCGUGGGGAGCAAACAGG
rnacentral:rRNA from 1 species